rnacentral:ncRNA from 2 species
GGACGAACCCUUGGAGAGAUCCAUUUUAGAAAUGGACGCCGAAGCGCAAAAGAGCGGUUAAUUUUUCAAUCGUUUUUCAAACGCUCAGGCAAAAGGACAGGGGCAAAAGA